UACGAAGGGUGCAAGCGUUAAUCGGAAUUACUGGGCGUAAAGCGUGCGUAGGUGGUUUCUUAAGUCUGCUGUGAAAGCCCUGGACUCAACCUGGGAAUGGCGGUGGAUACUGAGGAGCUAGAGUGCGGUAGAGGAGGGUGGAAUUCCCGGUGUAGCGGUGAAAUGCGUAGAGAUCGGGAGGAACACCAGUGGCGAAGGCGGCGAUCUGGGAAGAUACUGACGCUGAGGUGCGAAAGCGUGGGGAGCAAACAGG
rnacentral:rRNA from 1 species